AUACUUACCUGCCAGGGGAGAUACCAUGAUCACAAAGGUGGUUUUUCCAGGUGCUUAUCCAUUGCACUCCAGAUGUGCUGACCCCUGUGAUUUCCCCAAAUGUGGGAAAAUUGACCACAUAAUUUGUGGUAAUGGGGAACUGCGUUCACGCUUUCCCCUA
ensembl:snRNA U1 U1 spliceosomal RNA